GAUGAACGCUGGCGGCGUGCCUAAUACAUGCAAGUCGAGCGAACAGAUGAGGAGCUUGCUCCUCUGACGUUAGCGGCGGACGGGUGAGUAACACGUGGAUAACCUACCUAUAAGACUGGGAUAACUUCGGGAAACCGGAGCUAAUACCGGAUAAUAUAUUGAACCGCAUGGUUCAAUAGUGAAAGACGGUUUUGCUGUCACUUAUAGAUGGAUCCGCGCCGCAUUAGCUAGUUGGUAAGGUAACGGCUUACCAAGGCAACGAUGCGUAGCCGACCUGAGAGGGUGAUCGGCGACACUGGAACUGGGACACGGUCCAGACUCCUACGGGAGGCAGCAGUAGGGAAUCUUCCGCAAGGGGCGAAAGCUUGACGGAGCAACGCCGCGUGAGUGAUGAAGGUCUUCGGAUCGUAAAACUCUGUUAUUAGGGAAGAACAAAUGUGUAAGUAACUAUGCACGUCUUGACGGUACCUAAUCAGAAAGCCACGGCUAACUACGUG
rnacentral:rRNA from 1 species